UUGGAGGUAGUGACAAUAAAUCACAAUGCGGGACUAUCAGUCUUGCAAUUGGAUUGAGAACAAUGUACAACUCUUAUCGAUAAGCCAUUGGAGGGCAAGUCUGGUGCCAGCAGCCGCGGUAAUUCCAGCUCCAAUAGCGUAUAUUAACGUUGUUGCAGUUAAAAAGCUCGUAGUUGAAGUGUGGGUGAUCGCUGUUGUGAGACUUCGGUCUCUCGACAGUAAGUCACCCCCUUCCAGUAUCCAGUAGUGGGUAUUCACUUACUUACUACUGUGUGUUGGUCGUUUACUGUGAGAAAAUUAGAGUGUUCAAAGCAGGCGUUUGCUUGAAUAGAUUAGCAUGGAAUAAUAAUUGAAGGCUUUCGUGUUCGAUUUGAUUGGUUUGUUCAUGGAAGCAAGGUUAAAAGGAACAGUUGGGGGUAUUCAUAUUCACUAGUUAGAGGUGAAAUUCUCGGAUUUAUGGAAGAUGAACAAGUGCGAAAGCAAUGG
rnacentral:rRNA from 1 species